UAUAUAGUACUUCCUCAACGACGCCUGAUGGAAGGAGAAAACGUUCUACGUCUCGGCCUCAACAUUCCAAAACAUCUUCAUUCCACUGAGGAAAUGCACCCGGGCUUGUAAGUAAGCAUCUUAUUCACCUAGUCAUGCCCACACAAUAACUCAACCCGUCUAAUGCUUUAUUCCUCAGACAAGUCUACCUAGCCCGUACCCUGUUUCAAAUAUCGUGCAGAUUCUACUUCGUAAAUCCUCAACUUUCUUCCCCGGCUUCCUAAACACGAAUCUUCCCGGAGUAAAUUCACGCUGUAAACACACCCAGGGCUUUGUUUUAUACAGAUUUCUCCCCCCUGGUCCCAAGAGAGGUUGCUUUCCCUUCUAGAUCCAACUGAGGCCAAAUACUGCCAUCUGGGGUCACGGCUUCCUCUCGCCGCUGCCGCCGUGGAGCGGACUCGCUGGGUUCCGGAUUCCCCGCGCCGGCCCGAGCCUCGCACCCCUUCCUGUCUCCGUCUGCCCACGGUUUGCCUUUCCAGGUCGCGAGGGAAUCAGCGUAAAACGUGGGGUGGCACAGACGGGAGUUCCAAUCGAGCUGCCUGCCUUGGAGGCUGCCAGACAGAACACCAUGAAUGCACUCUUCCCUGAGCCCCGUGAGGAGUGUUCCAUUGUUCACCCAUUUUACAUAUGAGGAAACUGAGGCACAUCGCUGCUAGGAAGUGAAAGGACCUGGAUCUGAACCCAAAAGCAGCUGAAGCCUGCAGCCUGGGCUGUUAAUCACAUCGCACCAAUGCCCCGUGCCAGAGACAAGAGGAGGAUGCCAAGUGAAACCAUUGUAAUUAUCCACGUGAAAUACUCAGACUUAUGCAGAAAAUUAACUGUCCCUUACUAAAUUUUGCAAAUUCUGCGUUCUCAGUUCAGAUAUUUCAGGACGGGUAGGUAUGGUUUUGGUAACCAGUCUGCUGUCUGAUGGAUCUGUGGGGGCUGAUGUGGAAGGAGGUGGGUCCUCUCCAGACUCUAACAAGGCUCCUGCCAGCAGCCACCACCCUAACAUCUUUUAAAAAUUCCUCUUCUGACACUUGCAAAGGGCCUCAUAACAUUUCUACUUCCUCGAUCAAGUUUCCUUUAGCUAACUGGUACACACAACUAUCCAACGUUUGUUUUGUAUUAAUAGUGUGCUGGACUGUAUAUAAAAUACAUUAUGCCAGCAUUUGCCCAGUAGAACUGCUACCUUAAAAUUUAGCAUUUAUAUUGUGCCUUAGGCUCGUCCUUUCUCCCUUUUGACCUCCUUUUCAAGUGACCCUAAGAACUGAAUGGUCUCCCAGCUCCACUUAGCCAAGGCUUACAUUCUUAGAGUUCCCCAAAGCUGAUGCCACCAGGGCAUUGGCGCUUGUCCUGAACCAGGAAGAUCCAGAACUCUCACCAAGUGGCGAGAAAAUAAAACAAAAACAGAUGGAAGCCAAGUCAGCCUCGGUCACAGCCGUCACCCAUUACCCUGCUUUCUCUCUGAGUGUCAUUCAAUGUUCUGGUCGCCUAUCAGAUCAUGACACCGGGAGUGAUCCCAGUCUGCCCAGAGAUUUUGCCCAGACUUAGCCACCAAAGAGCACUGCAGGCUGUCCCAGGGCAGGGACAGGCAGUGAUGUAACAUAAAAGGAAGAGGGCAGCC